rnacentral:rRNA from 1 species
UACGGAGGGUGCAAGCGUUAUCCGGAUUCACUGGGUUUAAAGGGUGCGUAGGCGGCUUUAUAAGUCAUUGGUGAAAGCUCGCAGCUUAACUGUGAACUGCCAUUGAAACUGUUUAGCUUGAAUGUGGUUGAAGUGGGCGGAAUAUAAACAUGUAGCGGUGAAAUGCUUAGAUAUGUUAUAGAACACCGAUUGCGAAGGCAGCUCACUAAGCCAAUUAUUGACGCUGAGGCACGAAAGCGUGGUAGCGAACAG